rnacentral:misc_RNA from 1 species
CCGAGUUCUACCGACUCCCACAACCCUUCUGUGAACCUACCUCUUGUUGCUUCGGCGGAUCGCCCCGAUGACGGCCCCCUCUCGGGGGGGCCGUCUCGGACCAGCGCGGCCGCCGAAGGACCUCGAAACUCUCUGUCUUGAUUUCUGUUUCCUUCUGAGUGGCACAAGCAAAAUGAAUCA